rnacentral:rRNA from 1 species
GAUGAACGCUGGCGGCGUGCCUAAUACAUGCAAGUCGAGCGAACGGACGAGAAGCUUGCUUCUCUGAUGUUAGCGGCGGACGGGUGAGUAACACGUGGAUAACCUACCUAUAAGACUGGGAUAACUUCGGGAAACCGGAGCUAAUACCGGAUAAUAUUUUGAACCGCAUGGUUCAAAAGUGAAAGACGGUCUUGCUGUCACUUAUAGAUGGAUCCGCGCUGCAUUAGCUAGUUGGUAAGGUAACGGCUUACCAAGGCAACGAUUCAUAGCCGACCUGAGAGGGGGAUCGGCCACACUGGAACUGAGACACGGUCCAGACUCCUACGGGAGGCAGCAGUAGGGAAUCUUCCGCAAUGGGCGAAAGCCUGACGGAGCAACGCCGCGUGAGUGAUGAAGGUCUUCGGAUCGUAAAACUCUGUUAUUAGGGAAGAACAUAUGUGUAAGUAACUGUGCACAUCUUGACGGUACCUAAUCAGAAAGCCACGGCUAACUACGUG